UAAAACUUUCAACAACGGAUCUCUUGGUUCUGGCAUCGAUGAAGAACGCAGCGAAAUGCGAUAAGUAAUGUGAAUUGCAGAAUUCAGUGAAUCAUCGAAUUUUUGAACGCAUAUUGCGCCCUUUGGCAUUCCGAAGGGCAUACCUGUUCGAGCGUCAUUACACCCCUCAA
rnacentral:rRNA from 2 species